GCCAGUGUGGCAUAGUGGUUUGAGUGGUAGACUACAACUCUGGAGACCAGGGUUCAAUUCCCUGCUCAGGAA